UACGUAGGGUGCAAGCGUUGUCCGGAAUUAUUGGGCGUAAAGAGCUCGUAGGCGGUCUGUCGCGUCUGCUGUGAAAACUCAGGGCUUAACUCUGAGCUUGCAGUGGGUACGGGCAGACUAGAGUGCGGUAGGGGAGACUGGAAUUCCUGGUGUAGCGGUGAAAUGCGCAGAUAUCAGGAGGAACACCGGUGGCGAAGGCGGGUCUCUGGGCCGUAACUGACGCUGAGGAGCGAAAGCAUGGGGAGCGAACAGG
rnacentral:rRNA from 1 species